UCAGUCACUUGGGGAAGUUCAGGAGGCUG
rnacentral:piRNA from 1 species